rnacentral:rRNA from 1 species
AUGCAGUCGAACGGUAGCACAGAGAGCUUGCUCUCGGGUGACGAGUGGCGGACGGGUGAGUAAUGUCUGGGAAACUGCCUGAUGGAGGGGGAUAACUACUGGAAACGGUAGCUAAUACCGCAUAACGUCGCAAGACCAAAGAGGGGGACCUUCGGGCCUCUUGCCAUCAGAUGUGCCCAGAUGGGAUUAGCUAGUAGGUGGGGUAAUGGCUCACCUAGGCGACGAUCCCUAGCUGGUCUGAGAGGAUGACCAGCCACACUGGAACUGAGACACGGUCCAGACUCCUACGGGAGGCAGCAGUGGGGAAUAUUGCACAAUGGGCGCAAGCCUGAUGCAGCCAUGCCGCGUGUAUGAAGAAGGCCUUCGGGUUGUAAAGUACUUUCAGCGGGGAGGAAGGUGUUGUGGUUAAUAACCGCAGCAAUUGACGUUACCCGCAGAAAAAGCACCGGCUAACUCCGUGCCNNCAGCCGCGGUAAUACGGAGGGUGCAAGCGUUANUC